UACGUAGGGUGCAAGCGUUGUCCGGAAUUAUUGGGCGUAAAGAGCUCGUAGGCGGUCUGUCGCGUCGAAUGUGAAAACACGAGGCUCAACUUCGUGCCUGCAUUCGAUACGGGCAGACUAGAGUUCGGUAGGGGAGACUGGAAUUCCUGGUGUAGCGGUGAAAUGCGCAGAUAUCAGGAGGAACACCGGUGGCGAAGGCGGGUCUCUGGGCCGAUACUGACGCUGAGGAGCGAAAGCGUGGGGAGCGAACAGG
rnacentral:rRNA from 1 species